rnacentral:rRNA from 1 species
AUUGAACGCUGGCGGCAUGCCUUACACAUGCAAGUCGAACGGCAGCACGGGAGCAAUCCUGGUGGCGAGUGGCGAACGGGUGAGUAAUGUAUCGGAACGUACCUUUCAGUGGGGGAUAACGUAGCGAAAGUUACGCUAAUACCGCAUAUUCUGUGCGCAGGAAAGCAGGGGAUCGCAAGACCUUGCGCUGAUUGAGCGGCCGAUAUCAGAUUAGCUAGUUGGUGAGGUAAAGGCUCACCAAGGCGACGAUCUGUAGCGGGUCUGAGAGGAUGAUCCGCCACACUGGAACUGAGACACGGUCCAGACUCCUACGGGAGGCAGCAGUGGGGAAUUUUGGACAAUGGGGGCAACCCUGAUCCAGCCAUGCCGCGUGAGUGAAGAAGGCCUUCGGGUUGUAAAGCUCUUUCGGCCGGGAAGAAAUCGCAUGGGUUAAUACCCUGUGCGGAUGACGGUACCGGCAUAAGAAGCACCGGCUAACUACGUGCCAGCAGCCGCGGUAAUACGUAGGGUGCGAGCGUUAAUCGGAAUUACUGGGCGUAAAGCGUGCGCAGGCGGUUUUGUAAGACAGGCGUGAAAUCCCCGGGCUCAACCUGGGAACUGCGCUUGUGACUGCAAGGCUAGAGUAUGGCAGAGGGGGGUGGAAUUCCACGUGUAGCAGUGAAAUGCGUAGAGAUGUGGAGGAACACCAAUGGCGAAGGCAGCCCCCUGGGCCAAUACUGACGCUCAUGCACGAAAGCGUGGGUAGCAAACAGGAUUAGAUACCCUGGUAGUCCACGCCCUAAACGAUGUCAACUAGGUGUUGGGUGGGUAAAACCAUUUAGUACCGGAGCUAACGCGUGAAGUUGACCGCCUGGGGAGUACGGCCGCAAGGUUAAAACUCAAAGGAAUUGACGGGGACCCGCACAAGCGGUGGAUGAUGUGGAUUAAUUCGAUGCAACGCGAAAAACCUUACCUACCCUUGACAUGUCCAGGAGCCUGAAGAGAUUUGGGUGUGCCCGAAAGGGAACUGGAACACAGGUGCUGCAUGGCUGUCGUCAGCUCGUGUCGUGAGAUGUUGGGUUAAGUCCCGCAACGAGCGCAACCCUUGUCGUUAAUUGCCAUCAUUCAGUUGGGCACUUUAACGAGACUGCCGGUGACAAACCGGAGGAAGGUGGGGAUGACGUCAAGUCCUCAUGGCCCUUAUGGGUAGGGCUUCACACGUCAUACAAUGGUCGGUACAAAGGGUCGCCAACCCGCGAGGGGGAGCCAAUCCCAGAAAGCCGAUCGUAGUCCGGAUCGUAGGCUGCAACUCGCCUGCGUGAAGUCGGAAUCGCUAGUAAUCGUGGAUCAGCAUGUCACGGUGAAUACGUUCCCGGGUCU